GGGCUGGGCAAGUCCUACCAGCCGGGCAGUAUGAUCUCUCUCGCUUUGACCAAAGGUCUUCUUAAUGAGCCAGGCCAGAACAGCUGCUUCCUCAACAGUGCUGUGCAGGUUCUUUGGCAGCUUGACAUCUUCAGGAGGAGCCUACGGCAGCUCUCUGGCCAUUUCUGCUUGGGUGAUGCCUGUAUUUUCUGUGCUUUAAAGAGCAUCUUCUGUCAGUUCCAGCAGAGUCGAGAGCGGGCUCUGCCGUCAGAUACCCU